CAUCUAGGCCCAGUGGGUUGCCCAGAUGGACGCGGUUCUCGCGCCGCGGGCCCCAGGCAGAGGAGCUGGUCGGCCCGCACUGGUCAGGCUGCGCUUGGGCCCCUGGAGUGCCAGUCACAGGGCCGUGGCCUUCUCUCCCAUUGGGCCUGUAGACACAGCCCGGCAAGAGCACAUCAAGUUGCUUUGUUUGUGUGUGUUUGGCUUCUAGCCACGCAUGUGUGCAGCCAAGGACUGUCCAUGUAAUAACUUCAAAAACUGGAGCAUUACAUUCAGAGAGCACUGUGGCACCUGUCUGUCUAAAUGACACAUUUGAUUUGACCACGUUUUACUGAUUUUCAUGAGCAUGUGGCGUCUCGAGAUGGUUAAAAUAUGUGAAACGUGGGGCAUUACAGUCUGUGAUAAUGCAACAUCCUUUAAUUGAUACACUAAGCCUCAUCAUUGUUCAGCUGAACCGCUGAGACUCUCGGGGACGUCUGUCUCACUGUCAAUCCAGGAUUUCCUGAAAACGAGAAUCUCCCACCUGCCCGCUUCACAGCACACGGAUGGAAGGAGUGCCUGCCUGAUGCCGCCCAGGAAGACACUGAUCUGCCCAAUUUGAUGGAUCCCUUCACCUGCUGAUGAGCUGUCCUCGUAACGAACCCUUUCACACGUCGUGUUGAUGGAGCUUCACAAAUCUUUUUGUGAAGAUUCAGAUUCCGCCCCGAGCACCACUGUCUGCUGGAGCCCAUAAAAACCCAAAUUUACUAAAAAUAUAUGUUCCUGGGAUUGCUGCAUUAUUUACCUCCAAGAGCCAUGACAAUCUCAUGAAAUAUAUAUU